CACAAGCGGUGGAGCAUGUGGUUUAACUCGAAGCAACGCGAAGUAACCUUACCAGGUCUUGACAUCCCGAUGCUAUUUCUAGAGAUAGAAAGUUACUUCGGUACAUCGGUGACAGGUGGUGCAUGGUUGUCGUCAGCUCGUGUCGUGAGAUGUUGGGUUAAGUCCCGCAACGAGCGCAACCCCUAUUGUUAGUUGCCAUCAUUCAGUUGGGCACUCUAGCGAGACUGCCGGUAAUAAACCGGAGGAAGGUGGGGAUGACGUCAAAUCAUCAUGCCCCUUAUGACCUGGGCUACACACGUGCUACAAUGGUUGGUACAACGAGUUGCGAGUCGGUGACGGCGAGCUAAUCUCUUAAAGCCAAUCUCAGUUCGGAUUGUAGGCUGCAACUCGCCUACAUGAAGUCGGAAUCGCUAGUAAUCGCGGAUCAGCACGCCGCGGUGAAUACGUUCCCGGGCCUU
rnacentral:rRNA from 1 species